UACGUAGGGAGCAAGCGUUGUCCGGAAUCAUUGGGCGUAAAGCGCGCGUAGGUGGCUUCGUAAGUCCGUUGUGAAAGUCAAAGGCUCAACCUUUGAAAGCCGAUGGAUACUGCGGAGCUAGAGUACGGAAGAGGCGAGUGGAAUUCCUGGUGUAGCGGUGGAAUGCGCAGGUAUCAGGAGGAACACCAAUAGCGAAGGCAGCUCGCUGGGACGUUACUGACACUGAGGCGCGAAAGCGUGGGGAGCGAACAGG
rnacentral:rRNA from 1 species